GCUGGCCUUCCCGCUCCUGGCCGCGCCCGCCACGCGAGCCGCGCUCUGCGGUUCCGCGCGCCUGCUCAACUGCACGGCGCCUGGUCCCGACGCCGCCGCCCGCUGCUGCGCACCGGCCACCUUCGCGGGGCUGGUGCUGGUGGGCCUGGGCGUGGCCACCGUCAAGGCCAACAUCACGCCCUUCGGGGCCGACCAGGUUAAAGAUCGAGGUCCGGAAGCCACUAGGAGAUUUUUUAAUUGGUUUUAUUGGAGCAUUAACCUGGGAGCGAUCCUGUCGUUAGGUGGCAUUGCCUAUAUUCAGCAGAACGUCAGCUUUGUCACUGGUUAUGCGAUCCCCACUGUCUGCGUCGGCCUUGCUUUUGUGGUCUUCCUCUGUGGCCAGAGCGUUUUCAUCACCAAGCCUCCUGAUGGCAGUGCCUUCACCGACAUGUUCAAGAUACUGACGUAUUCCUGCUGUUCCCAGAAGCGAAGUGGAGAGCGCCAGAGUAAUGGAUGCAGACAACAUAUGUUUUACAGAGUCUUCAUUUGAGGAUUCCAGAAAUUUCAAAUAUUACAACCACUCCUCACACGAAAAGCAAAUGCAGAUUCAUUUGGAAAGAAAUCUUUUCCCAGUUCCGUUGUCUCUAAACUGAAG
rnacentral:sRNA from 1 species